rnacentral:rRNA from 1 species
GAUCCUGCGCCGAAGAUUUCCGGGGCUAAAACUUACUACCGAAGCUACGGCAUCAGUAAUGAUGGGUAGGGGAGCUUCCCAUACGGGUUGAAGCAUGACCGUAAGGACAUGUGGACAGUAUGGGAGUGAGAAUGUUGGCAUGAGUAGCGAGAUGUGGGUGGGAAUCCCACAGGCCGUAAACCCAAGGUUUCCAGGGGAAGGUUCGUCCACCCUGGGUUAGUCGGGACCUAAGCUGAGGCCGAAAGGCGUAGGUGAUGGACAACAGGUUGAUAUUCCUGUACUACCGAUAACCGUUUGAGAGAAGGGAUGACACAGUAGGAUAAGCUAAGCACACUGUUGGUUAUGUGUGCCCAAGCAUUGAGGCAGUCAAAGUAGGCAAAUCCGCUUUGAUAAUGCUGGGAUG